GGGAACAACCAUACCAACAUGACAGCACCGCUUCCCGUCUACUCAGCAAAGUUAAGCAUGUUUGUGCCUGGUUAGUACUAUGGUGGAGACCAUGUUCCCAGGUGUUGUUCUCA
rnacentral:rRNA from 1 species